rnacentral:tRNA from 1 species
GAGGGUAUAGCUCAAGAGGUAGAGUGCAUGCCUAGUAUGCACAAGAUCGUGGGUUCAAUCCCCAGUACCUCCU